rnacentral:rRNA from 1 species
AGUCGAGCGGUAAGGCCCUUCGGGGUACACGAGCGGCGAACGGGUGAGUAACACGUGGGUGACCUGCCCUCCACUUCGGGAUAAGCCUGGGCGGGUCUAAUACCGGAUGGCGACCACUGCAUGCAUGUGUGGUGGUGGAAAGACGGUGUCUGUUGAGGAUGCUGUUCGGUGGGGGAUGGGCCCGCGGUCUAUCAGCUGGUUGGUGGGGUGAUGGCCUACCAAGGCGACGACGGAUAGCCGGCCUGAGAGGGUGAUCGGCCACACUGGGACUGAGACACGGCCCAGACUCCUACGGGAGGCAGCAGUGGGGAAUCUUGCGCAAUGGGCGGAAGCCUGAGGCAGCAACGCCGCGUGGGGGAUGACGGCCUUCGGGUUGUAAACCUCUUUCGCGAUCGACGAAGCYUGCACWGUUGGWGUGGG